GAGAGAGAGAGAGAGAGAGAGAGGGAGGGACAGAGAAAGAAAAAGAGAGAUAGAUAGAGAGAAAAAGAACAAAUUAAUUGAUUUUUCAAAAGAAGAUAGUAUAACCACGGUUUACUCUUUUGUGAUUUAAUGUCAUUGCAGGAGGACGAUUGUCCUUGACUGCAGUAUGCGUUAAUUGGAAAAAGAUAAACGUAUAUAAACAGAAAGCGGGGUGGGGGCGGGGGGGUUGAAGAAGAAGAAGAAGAAGAAAAAAAAAAAGAAAACGUCCAAGUUUGUGGAUUUGUGUAGGAAAAUUCGAAAAAGAAAUUUUUCUAAUUUCUUAUUGCGAAUGGAAGAGAAAUGACGAUAUCUGUCGCAUGUUUAUGAAAACAUAAGACAUGGUUUGGAUUUAGUAUAUCCAAUACAUUGGCAAGUAUGUUUAAUGCAGAGCCUGAAUCUGUAUCUGAGGGUUGGCAUACAUACGAAUUACCUAGCACAAUGAUCCCUAAUGCAAGCUCUGGAAUGGACGACGAAGAUCACUUUUGCAAGCUUAUAUUGUAUAAAGAAAUUAAGGAUUCCAGUAUUUUUCAGAGUUCGUAUAUGGGAUAUUAUUAUACUAGUGCCGAAUUUAUUAUUUCUUCUAUUUAUCGCUAUAAGAUUUAACAGAGCAAGGCUUAAAUUACGUGCAACGAGUAGUCCAAUAUUUCUAGCGUUUUAUGGACUUGUUAUUUGUAACGUCGUUAUCUCGGUAAUACGAUGCGUUGUAUCAAUGACGGUUAAUGCUGCAGCUACCGUUGGUGGUAAAGCAGAUAAAGUGCUUUGGGUUACGGUUAGAUUUUUUUUAUUAUCUACAGAAAUGAGUGUAGUAAUAUUUGGUUUAGCUUUUGGGCAUUUGGAUAGUCGAUCGAGUAUUCGUAGAGUAUUACUCGCCACAUCUCUUAUCGCUUUAGCGUUUACUAUAACUCAAGGAACUUUAGAAUUAGUUUUACCAGACGACACAUUCCAUAUUCCAAGUAGAGAUUUUUAUGUAUUUGGUCAUGGCGGUAUGAUGUUUUGGUUUUGCAGCAGUCUCGUUUUUACUACGAUAUAUCUUUUUAUAUUGAUAUUACCGUGGACACGAUUAAGAGAACGUUUAGCACUUCCGACAAGGAAAAGCUUUUACGUUUAUGCGGGCACGUUGGCCACAAUGGAUCUAGUACAAUCAAUUGGUGCAGGUUUUUUAACUUACACACAAAAUCCUGUUGGACUGUGCAUCGUAGAUUUUACUGCAGCUGUUUAUUUAACUCUCUUUACGCCAUUGGUAUAUCACACUUUCCUAUCAGAAUUCCUCGGCGUUUCGCAACCUUCGAUAAUGUUCUCUUACAAAGCACAAGUUGACGACGCAAUGGAUGAAGAUACUGUAUCGCUUCCUCAUCAACAGAGUUUCUCAUCGUUAAAAACUGACAGCGAUUACAUCUAUCAGGUCCAUACUCCGUCUAUUCACAUGCCCCUGUAUGAUCCUCAGGCAUCAUCCACUGCAAUGCAUAGGACUUCUCUGUACUCCUUAACAUCUGCGAAGGAUUCUAAAUAUAAUACUACUAAUCCUUAUAACUCACAGGUCACAUUACAUAAAUCAUCUGGUAUUAAAAAUUUCGCUAGACGUUUUAGUGCAGAGAAAAGUAUAAAUGAUUUUGCACAUUAUCCUUUAACAAAGUCGGAUAGUGUAAGUCAUAUUCAAAAUGGCUCACUGGAUAUUAAAUUUUACAAUCCGUUGUUAAAAGGUGACUUAUCUUAUAAAAUUAAACUCGGCACAGCCAAGAGCGUCUCUAAUUUAAUAUCGUCCGCAAAUACCGCUAGUAAUUUUAUUUAUAAUCCUCGAAUAAACAGUAGUAAUUCGAAUCUUUUUUUUCCAACAAAAAAAAUUAAUUCGGAGAAUGCUUUAACAGUUUUUACAUCCUUCGACAAAGAAUCAUCGAAUGACUUAUCAGUUAAGUAUAGAAAGAACGAAGUGACUGAUAAAAAUUCCAAAUCUUUUUCUGAAAAAUCUUUAGAUAUUUUAGAUUCUCCUCUGUUAGGAGAUUACAGAUCGCAGAAUAUAUUAAAUAAAGAUAGUUGUAUUAAAAAUAGAAGCGAGAUUAGAUUGCAGAAGGAUAAAGAUUUAGAAUUUAUUCAAAAUCUAUCAGAAAAUUGAUUGCUCGAUAUUCUUGGAUGUUUCUAUAAAAAGGUAUCUAAUAUCCCAGACUGUGUCAUUUUCAACGACGAAAAUAUCAAAGAUUAAUUCCAGUAUUAAAAAAAGAAAAAUCUGCUGAUUUAAAUCAAUAUUUGUCAUUGUUGAUGUCAAUCAGAUAUGAGAAACCAAUUAAAGAACAGUCUAAAUCUUUAUACAUGCAGACAGAAUCUUUGUAAAUAAUUUGUCACAUGUGUACUAACUUUUAGAUGACUAUAUCAAGAUUUUAAUAUAUAGUUUGUAUAUAGUAGUAAAUAAUUUCAUGAUUUUAUAUAUAUAUAUAUAGAGAGAAAACUUGAUCGAUUUGAUUGAUUUUGAUGCAUAUACUGGAAUAUCGUAGUAUAACAGGUUAAUUGGUAUUUAAGUAUAAUUUUAAAAAUUAGUAUCAACGAGAUGUCAAAUGCGUUCAAGAUUUUGUAUAUUACGUAUGCGUUGUGUAUGUGUGGGGGAUGCGCGUUUGUGUAGAUAUAUAUAUAUAUAUAUAGCAUGAUUAUAGGAAAUGCUCUUAAUUAAACAAAAUUUGAUGUAGUCUAUAUAUGCACUUGGUUUUAAUUUAUUUAUUUAUAUAUAUAUGUGUAUAUAUAUAUAUAUACAUAUAUAUAUACUAUAACUUGGUUAUGCCUAUUAUUAACACAUUUAUUUUAUUUUGAAGAUGAAACUAUUCGUAUCCAACCGAAACGAUAUAAUAAAAACAAAUUGGUCGUGUGCUUA